rnacentral:lncRNA from 1 species
AGAAUUCCUUGCUUCUUGCAGACAUCAAAGUACCAGAAAAUGACACCGUAAAAUAACCAGUUCAAAAAAAAUUCAUUGUAAGAGUGAUAAGCAUGGGUGUUUCUUCAUAGAACUAAAAGAAAGUCAUCAAAUUCUCAUUUAUUAAGCACUUACUAAAAUUAGUGCCCGUAGUAUUUUCACCAAAAUAAAUCCGGGAGGCUGGAAACCUGAAAUAUGAAUUAGUAACACAAUGAGGAAUGAGUUAGAUUAUCAUUUACCAGCUAAUGAAAUUUCAGUGACACACGAUAGAUAACCAAGAUAGGUUCUCUGCUCUCGGAAAAUAAUUUCAGGCUUGUCUUCUAUCGGGCAGAGCCCCUUUUUUGAGUUCAUCAACUAAUGACUAAUUUCUAAUAGCAACUAAUUCAGGAUGAAGUCUCUUUACCUGAAUAGUAUAUCGUUUGAUAAAUACAAGUGGUCAAAUAAUGCAACACAAAAGAAAUGACUACUUCAAUUACUAACAAUUGGCAUUUCCUAGGUCUAUGCUGUGUCAUAAAUCAUCAAUCACCUGAUCAGCAAGAAGGGUCACAUUUGAAUACAAGUGCAACAACUAUAAAAUUAUCAGAAGUUUUUGAACCUCUGUCUAAUGUCUGCACAGCCUAGAGUUAGAUAGUAAGCAACAAAGAGUUUCAUCAUUGAACAAAGCCUUGUUGUUUACUAAAUCAGGAAAUAUAAAUGAUGCAUAUUACCCCUAUAUUAAUGUUGAGAAAAUCCUGAGCAUUGAAAAAUCAAGGCGUCAAAUCCUCUGCAUAAUAAGUACAAAACCCAGAUACUAUGAACACAAGGCUCAAAGUUCUAUUUUACAGCUGUAUCAAUGAACUUAGAGCACUUAAGUUAUACAUCUUUCUCUUUACUUCCAUUAACAAUGAUUAAAUAAAAAUGUAAUCAGUUAACUCACCGUUAAAAACUUAAUGGUUUUUUCAUUAAAGAAGAAAAGAAAAACGGCACAAUUAAAUACCAAAAAAUUAACACAAAACUAAACUUACUUCCAAGAAAUUGGUCCUUGUUAGAAAAUUUGAAAAGCAAAAUUCGAGGCCUACAUUAUUAAUCAAUUUUCUACAAAAUUGAAAAAGGAAGAAGAAAUAGAACUGAGAAAGCAAACACAAAAUAGAUGGCUCCAGCGACCGCUAACACAGCUUUGACUUUCCACCCUUAGUCACACUAUCUCCUCAGCUGUCCAAACCACCAUUUUCAUGAAUUCCACCAAAACCACAGCAAACAAGGCAGCUGCAAUUGAGACUUGCAUAGAUCCACCAAACCCAAACCCGUAAGCAAAGAGCUCGAUCUGAAUCUAUUGAAGACUUUGUCUAGUCUAAUUCCUAUUACUUUCCAUGGAUCAUUCGUAAUUGCAUAUAUGAAGGAAGAAGAUCUAGCAUUCACCGUCGACUUUAUCUCUGGAUUAGUCUGCAGAAUAGGGCCAAAAUAAAGGACGUAACGUGAGAGGAGGGAGAUUCGGGAGAGUCGACUGCUAGGAUUUGUUGGAAGAAAUGUGUAAAAUGAAUAUAGGAAAGGAAAA